CAGUGAGUCAAGUGGCUCUCGAGGCAGCCAAGAUUUUUAUCCCAAGUGGAGAGAAUCCAAAUUGUUUAUAACUGAUGAGGAGGUCGGUGCCGAGGAGACAGAAACAGAUACUUUUGACGGCACCCCACCGCCUGCCGGGGAAGCUGCUUUCUCAUCAGAUUCUCUAAGGACUGGAAGGUCACGGUCAUCUCAGAACAUUUGUAAGACGGGAGACAGUACGGAUGCCCUCAGUUUGCCUCACGUCAAACUGAACUAAGUUCUUUGUUUCCUUUCUAAGCGUAGCUGUUCUUUUAGCCAUACAUAUCACUGCAUGAACUACUCUGAAAGCCCUUCUAAAAAGUUAAAAAUCGCGCAAGAGUCAGGAAGAACAUGAAAGGCCAUGUAUACGCCCGUUAUCUUUUAAUUGCAUGAAAAUGCAUGUUUAGGGGUGGCAGAAAUUCCAAGGUACAUCGACAUUAACCCAUGCAUUUAAUAACGUACCUUGAGUCUAAAAUCCCAAGCCAACAGUCGCUGCUGAUGCUAUGGGGUGUGUGAAGAUGUCGGGAUAUUAGUUCAAUUGCAAGAGUUGACGCUGUAUUUUGAAAUUGUGAGAGUAAACACCUUCAAAUUUCAGGCAUUUCUGCUUUAUGACUAGAUACAAAGUACAUUUUCAAAAUUAGGCCAUAAUGUAUGUUUUAGACACAAUGGCUAUCAACAGCUGCUAAUAACACAAGUAAAGCAGAAUUUGGAAUAUAACCGAAA
rnacentral:lncRNA from 1 species